rnacentral:rRNA from 1 species
AGUGCUUGGAUGACUUGUGGCUAGGGGUGAAAUUCCAAUCGAACACGGAUAUAGCUGGUUCUCUCCGAAAUAGCUUUAGGGCUAGCCUCGAUGGCAAGUCUACUGGAGGUAGAGCACUGAAUGGGUGAUGGCCCCACCUCGGGGUACUGAUCUCAAUCAAACUCCGAAUGCCAGAUAGAUAUCAUCGGGAGUCAGACUGUGGGUGAUAAGGUCCAUGGUCAAAAGGGAAAGAGCCCAGACCGCCAGCUAAGGCCCCCAAGUGUCCGUUAAGUGGAAAAGGAUGUGGAGAUGCACAGACAACUAGGAGGUUGGCUUAGAAGCAGCCAUCCUUUAAAGAGUGCGUAAUAGCUCACUAGUCGAGUGACUCUGCGCCGAAAAUGUACCGGGUGUCGACGCGGCCG